UACGUAGGGGGGCGAGCGUUGUCCGGAUUUAUUGGGCGUAAAGAGCGUGUAGGCGGCAGGUAGGUCUGCUGUGAAAACUCGAGGCUCAACCUCGAGACGUCGGCGGAAACCAUCUGGCUAGAGUCCGGAAGAGGAGAGUGGAAUUCCACGUGUAGCGGUGAAAUGCGUAGAGAUGUGGAGGAACACCAGUGGCGAAGGCGACUCUUUGGUCUGUAACUGACGCUGAGGCGCGAAAAGCGUGGGGGAGCAAACAGG
rnacentral:rRNA from 1 species